GCCCAUGUAGCUCAGUGGUAGAGCACUCCCUUGGUAAGGGAGAGGUCGAGCGUUCAAUCCGCUCCAUGGGCACCA
rnacentral:tRNA from 2 species